rnacentral:rRNA from 1 species
UACGUAGGGCGCAAGCGUUAUCCGGAAUUAUUGGGCGUAAAGAGCUCGUAGGCGGUUUGUCGUGUCUGCCGUGAAAGUCCGGGGCUCAACUCCGGGCCUGCAGUGGGUACGGGCAGACUAGAGUGCGGUAGGGGAGACUGGAAUUCCUGGUGUAGCGGUGAAAUGCGCAGAUAUCAGGAGGAACACCGGUGGCGAAGGCGGGUCUCUGGGCCGUAACUGACGCUGAGGAGCGAAAGCGUGGGGAGCGAACAGG